UGAAUCACCAUCUGCUUCUGCGAUGAGAGGGAGGAGGCAGCUCCAAAACGGAUGGUUUAUCAAGAGAACCCUGGUUUUGAGGUGUCUACCUCUGCUACCUUCCGCCAUAUGCAUCAAGGACAGCUGGGCACAAUGUCCAGCUCCAGAAGAAAAUCCCCAUGAGAAACCGCCUUGUGGUAUUCCUCUGGAGACUGCUCCUGAUCAAGCAUCAGAGCCAUUAUAUUAGCUGGUCCAACAGGCUCAGAGGAGAAGACCCAUGCUCCAUGUCGGAGAAGAGGAUGGCUUUUGUGGAAUCCCACACAUGAAAAAUAAUGUCCAAAUUGACAUUUGUAUUCAUCUUAUAACCAUGAGGAGAACUAGAAUGACACUAAUGCUCAAUGACAGAAUUUAGAAGUUCUAGAUUGCUCAGUGAGAUUAUUGAAUCAUGGAUCUAAAUAAAUUGAUAAUUAAGUAAAGUGCAUUUUUUAAAGCA